ensembl:miRNA
GAGGUGGGAGGAUUGCUUGAGCCUGGGAGGUCGAGGCUGCAGUGAGCUGAGAUUGUGCCACUGCACUCCAGCCUGAGUGACAGAGCAAGACACUGUCUC